rnacentral:rRNA from 1 species
AACGAACGCUGGCGGCAGGCCUAACACGUGCAAGUCGAGCGAGGACUUCGGUCCUAGCGGCGGACGGGUGAGUAACGCGUGGGAACGUGCCCCUUGGUACGGAAUAGCCCCGGGAAACUGGGAGUAAUACCGUAUGAGCUCUACGGAGGAAAGAUUUAUCGCCAAGGGAUCGGCCCGCGUUGGAUUAGGUAGUUGUUGGGGUGAUGGCCUACCAAGCCGACGAUGCAUAGGUGGUUUGAGAGGAUGAUCAGCCACGCUGGGACUGAGACACGGCACUGAUACCGACGGGAGGCAGCAGUGGGGAAUCUUAGACAAUGGGCGCAAGCCUAAACUAGCCAUGCCGUGUGAACUAUGAAAGCCUUAGCGAUGUAAAGCUCUUUCAGUGGGGAAGGUAAUGACGGUACCCACAGAAGAAGCCCCGGCUAACUCCGUGCCAGCCGCCGCGGUAAAAC